GGGGCGCGUGGCGCAGAGGCAGUCGCGCCUCGAUGGCAUCGAGGAGGACGCCGGUUCGAACCCGGCCCGCCCCU
rnacentral:tRNA from 1 species